AAUGAGUAUGUAAGUGGAAUAAAAUCAACCUGUGGUACAAAAAUAUUUUUAACAUCCCAGAUGUAUCCUCCAAUAGCUGACUGUAAAUGACACAUUUGCCCAAGAAUAUCUAAAUUUCAAAUCUACACAGGAAGUUCUUUGUUUGAGAGCAGGAUGGAGUUAUUUUACUGUGUUUACAUGCAGCUUGGAAGUUAACAAUAACUAAAAGAAUACACCAGGAGUAAAUAAACAGCAUGCAGUAUGAAUGAAUGAAUGAAUGGAGAUAAUUCAGUUUAGUGACUCAAUGUAUUGUGUUCAAAGAAGGCCCCAUCCAAUAAUUCAAAGACAUGUUAAUGCAGUGAGGCAACUGAUGGCAAAUGAUGGCUUUGUGGCGGUUAAUGAAAACUACAUGGUAUUUUAUACUGAUGGUGGCGAACAGUGACAGAAAAUUUCUCAACCAAUAGUUACAUUUAGUUGAAAGUGAUGGUAUAAUCUUAUACUGACUAUACUGAAUUAUAACAAACAGUGGAAAACAUUGAUAAACUACAAUGACAGUGGAUCUGUAUAGAAACUGGUGACAUUUUAGCUCCAUAUUGUUUGUUCUAUUUUCUGUCACCUAGCGAAGAAAUGUCAAAAUUCAUAAGCAGUUUUGUUAUACUAAAGACUAUUAUGAAAUUAUAAAUUAAAAAGAUGUGACAUGCA
rnacentral:lncRNA from 1 species